rnacentral:ncRNA from 2 species
GGGAAGCCGGUGCAAAUCCGGCGCUGAUCCCGCAACCGUGAGCCACCGCACCGGUGGUGAGCCGGAAUGCC